CCCAGACUCCUACGGGAGGCAGCAGUGGGGAAUAUUGCACAAUGGGGGAAACCCUGAUGCAGCGACGCCGCGUGAGUGAAGAAGUAUUUCGGUAUGUAAAGCUCUAUCAGCAGGGAAGAAAAUGACGGUACCUGACUAAGAAGCCCCGGCUAACUACGUGCCAGCAGCCGCGGUAAUACGUAGGGGGCAAGCGUUAUCCGGAUUUACUGGGUGUAAAGGGAGCGUAGACGGCAUGGCAAGUCAGAUGUGAAAGCCCGGGGCUCAACCCCGGGACUGCAUUUGAAACUGUCAGGCUGGAGUGCAGGAGAGGUAAGUGGAAUUCCUAGUGUAGCGGUGAAAUGCGUAGAUAUACGGAGGAACACCGGUGGCGAAGGCGGAUUGCUGGACAGUAACUGACGCUGAGGCGCGAAAGCGUGGGGAGCAAACAGGAUUAGAUACCCGCGUA
rnacentral:rRNA from 1 species